rnacentral:lncRNA from 1 species
UUUGAAUGAAGAAGUGGGCCUAGAAGAAUUUGGACCCAAACCAAGGAUAUGAAAGUUUUAUACGAGGAAAAGGACAAAAGCUAAUAAUGAGGUGGCAGAUAAAUUGGUUAUAUAAGUCAGAGUAAUGAUUGGAAGGAAUCAUCUUGGUUUUCAGCAUCUUUUGUGGGGUCACUAGACAUAGUGAUUGAGAGCAAGCUUUGCGCUGCUUUUGGGCUGCUAGUUAUUCUAGUAGUUUGUUAUUUUCCCUUUUACACUUAAAUCCAUUGUAC